UGGGGAAUUUUGGACAAUGGGCGCAAGCCUGAUCCAGCCAUGCCGCGUGCGGGAAGAAGGCCUUCGGGUUGUAAACCGCUUUUGUCAAGGAAGAAAUCUUCUGAGUUAAUACCUCGGGAGGAUGACGGUACCUGAAGAAUAAGCACCGGCUAACUACGUGCCAGCAGCCGCGGUAAUACGUAGGGUGCAAGCGUUAAUCGGAAUUACUGGGCGUAAAGCGUGCGCAGGCGGUUUUGUAAGACAGAGGUGAAAUCCCCGGGCUCAACCUGGGAACUGCCUUUGUGACUGCAAGGCUUGAGUGCGGCAGAGGGGGAUGGAAUUCCGCGUGUAGCAGUGAAAUGCGUAGAUAUGCGGAGGAACACCGAUGGCGAAGGCAAUCCCCUGGGCCUGCACUGACGCUCAUGCACGAAAGCGUGGGGAGCAAACAGGAUUAGAUACCCUGGUAGUCCACGCCCUAAACGAUGUCAACUGGUUGUUGGGAAGGUUCCUUCUCAGUAACGUAGCUAACGCGUGAAGUUGACCGCCUGGGGAGUACGGCCGCAAGGUUGGAAC
rnacentral:rRNA from 1 species